CCUACGGGAGGCUGCAGUGGGGAAUAUUGCACAAUGGGCGCAAGCCUGAUGCAGCCAUGCCGCGUGUGUGAAGAAGGCCUUCGGGUUGUAAAGCACUUUCAGCGGGGAGGAAGGCGGUGAGGUUAAUAACCUCAUCGAUUGACGUUACCCGCAGAAGAAGCACCGGCUAACUCCGUGCCAGCAGCCGCGGUAAUACGGAGGGUGCAAGCGUUAAUCGGGAUUACUGCGCGUAAAGCGCACGCAGGCGGUCUGUCAAGUCGGAUGUGAAAUCCCCGGGCUCAACCUGGGAACUGCAUUCGAAACUGGCAGGCUAGAGUCUUGUAGAGGGGGGUAGAAUUCCAGGUGUAGCGGUGAAAUGCGUAGAGAUCUGGAGGAAUACCGGUGGCGAAGGCGGCCCCCUGGACAAAGACUGACGCUCAGGUGCGAAAGCGUGGGGAGCAAACAGGAUUAGAUACCCCAGUAGUC
rnacentral:rRNA from 1 species